GUGAACGCUGGCGGUAGGCCUAACACAUACACGUCGAACGGCAGCACAGUAAGAGCUUGCUCUUACGGGUGGCGAGUGGCGGACGGGUGAGGAAUACAUCGGAAUCUACUUUUUCGUGGGGGAUAACGUAGGGAAACUUACGCUAAUACCGCAUACGACCUACGGGUGAAAGCAGGGGAUCUUCGGACCUUGCGCGAUUGAAUGAGCCGAUGUCGGAUUAGCUAGUUGGCGGGGUAAAGGCCCACCAAGGCGACGAUCCGUAGCUGGCCUGAGAGGAUGAUCAGCCACACUGGAACUGAGACACGGUCCAGACUCCUACGGGAGGCAGCAGUGGGGAAUAUUGGACAAUGGGCGCAAGCCUGAUCCAGCCAUACCGCGUGGGUGAAGAAGGCCUUCGGGUUGUAAAGCCCUUUUGUUGGGAAAGAAAAGCAGCAGGUUAAUACCCCGCUGUUCUGACGGUACCCAAAGAAUAAGCACCGGCUAAUUUCGUG
rnacentral:rRNA from 1 species